rnacentral:ncRNA from 1 species
AACCUGGUUGAUCCUGCCAGUAGUCAUAUGCUUGUCUCAAAGAUUAAGCCAUGCAUGUCUAAGUAUAAGCUUUUAUACGGUGAAACUGCGAAUGGCUCAUUAAAACAGUUAUAGUUUAUUUGAUGGUCUCAUUUUACAUGGAUAACCAUGGUAAUUCUAUGGCUAAUACAUGCGCAAAGGUCACCUCCUUUGGAGGGGCUGUGUUUAUUAGAUACAAAACCAACCCACUUUGUAGUGGAGUCUUGGUGAUUCAUAGUAACCGAACGGAUCGCAGUUGGUUCUUUUGGGCCCGCGAUGGAUCAUUCAAGUUUCUGACCUAUCAGCUUUCGACGGUAGGGUAUUGGCCUACCGUGGCAGUGACGGGUAACGGGGAAUUAGGGUUCGAUUCCGGAGAGGGAGCCUGAGAAACGGCUACCACAUCUAAGGAAGGCAGCAGGCGCGCAAAUUACCCAAUGGAAACAGCUUCGAGGUAGUGACGAGAAAUAACAAUACAGGGCAUUUUAUGCUUUGUAAUUGGAAUGACGGGAAUGUAAAACCCUUCCAGAGUAACAAUUAGAGGGCAAGUCUGGUGCCAGCAGCCGCGGUAAUUCCAGCUCCAAUAGUGUAUAUUAGAGUUGUUGCAGUUAAAAAGCUCGUAGUUGGAUUUCUGUCGUGGUCAUCCGCCGCCGCCCGUAUGGGUGUGGGCCUGGCAUGCCCUCGGCUUAUUUCCCGUAGCCUUCCGCGCUUAAUUGCGUGUGUUGGUGUUCUGGAACUUUUACUUUGAGAAAAAUAGAGUGUUUCAAGCAGGCUUGUCGCCCUGAAUACUGCACCAUGGAAUAAUAAGAUAGGACCUCGGUUCUAUUUUGUUGGUUUCUAGGACCAAGGUAAUGAUUAAUAGGGACAGUU